rnacentral:rRNA from 1 species
UACGUAGGGGGCAAGCGUUGUCCGGAAUCAUUGGGCGUAAAGAGCGCGUAGGCGGUCCGAUAAGUCGGUUGUGAAAACUGGGGGCUCAACCCUCAGAGGCCGACCGAUACUGUCGGGCUAGAGUCCGGAAGAGGCGAGUGGAAUUCCUGGUGUAGCGGUGAAAUGCGCAGAGUAUACAGGAGGAACACCAAUGGCGAAGGCAGCUCGCUGGGACGUUACUGACGCUGGAGAACGACGAAAGCGUGGGGAGCAAACAGG